UACGGAGGUAGAGCACUGAAUGUCCUAGGGGGUAUUGCACCUACCGAAGACUAUCAAACUCCGAAUGCCGUCAUCUUAUACUUGGUAGUCCGACUGUGGGCGCUAAGAUUCAUAGUCGAAAGGGCAAUAGCCCAGAUCGUCAGCUAAGGUCCCUAACUGUAAGUUAAGAGGUAAAGGAUGUGGGAUUGCACAGCCAACCAGGAUGUU
rnacentral:rRNA from 1 species